GCUGCAGGUCCUAUCACUGGUGACCAAGGAGAAUUGGCUGGCCUGGCUUGCUGAAGCUGCGAUGCAAGCACUAGAGCUAACAUGAAGAAAGCAUCAGGAGGACACAUCCACAAGCUGCACUACUCUCUUUGGAAAUAGCGAGGUCUUAGAUCAGCCACUAAGAAGAGCACAGAAAUCAAACAUCCUGAUUUGGGAGCUGAUCAUCUUCACUUCUCAGCAGUACUUCUUCCAGGAGAAUGCUUCAACUGCUUCUGGGGUUGCAGAGUUCCUUCCAGGAUGAAGAACAGUAAAGAGGGAAAAAAGAGCACAGCAGGGCAAAGAGAAAGGAAAACUGGCUCUUGGAUCUGUAUGCUUCUCACUGCUCUGUGAAUACAUCAUCUCUGCAGCACACCUGAACUCCACUGACCCUGGCACAGACCAGCUCUCAGAUGGUGGCCUUCUGUGGCAGUUGCCAAACUACUGGACCUGAGUACAUAUUGCUUCUGACCAUCCUUAAUCAUGUUAGACAAAAACAGCCCAAAGAACACAAAACAGAGGAAAGACCUGGAAAUAUGACUUGCCCAAACAGGACUGGAAUCUCAGAAAAUUUAAAGCUGCAUGCAAAAAGAUGAUUUAAAGAAAAAAUAUUUGUAAUGAGUUUGAAUGAUUCUAAUUAAUUAUAUGGAUCUGGAUAAAUAAAAUUACCAGAAAUGCAAUCUAAAAAUCAGAGCAGGCUAUUACAACACUUACGUGGAAUAAGAUGUGUAAGCUAUACUUCACAACUGUUUACAUUUAACAGGCCCGCAAGGAAAUUCAUUUACUUACCAUAAAACAUACAAGUUCUUAAUAUGCUCCCAUCUCUAAACUGCAGUUUUCAUGUGCACUAAAAAUGAAUUGAUUUAUUUCUUGAUAGUGACUGAUAAUGGUCAUUGCUGACAAUUAGCAAGAAAGCAAUAUAUGCAAAGAGUAUCAACUGCUAUUAUUUCCAAAUAUUUUAUUAAAUGCAUUUUGUAAACUAAACAUUGGGCAUUUCUUAUAAUUUCAAUGUCCCUUUUAUUUUGUGAUUCAUAUUUAAAAUUGAAAAUUUAACAAAUCUCUCCAGGUGAUCUUUGAUGUCUGUAUCUGCAGAAGUUUCUUGUAGAUAAUCACGCAGGAUAAAGAGAGAAUACUUAACUGUUACAGUUAACUGCCCUGUAGCAAUAGCUCCAUGCAUUGCACCUGUGUGGUAAAUUUCGUGAUAAAUUUUACUUGUGUGUUUUUAUAUUAGCACAUGCAUUCUCAGACCAGUGUUAUCAGGAAUCUUCUAGCAAGAGAGUGGAUGCUAGAAUGUAACGAGCAACAGAAAACAGCAUUCAAAGAAAUCAGUGUUUAUGGGACUGAAUCUUAAUACAGUUGAACAGCAAUCCUGAGCAGACAAAUUACUUCCCUUCUGUAGUGUAAAAAGUGCAAAAAAUUAUUUAGCAGUCUUCUGCACUAUCCAGUUUAAACUUGUAUGUCCAGAAAUCAGUUGAAAAGCUCUUACUAUCUUCAGUGGAACAGAAUAAACCCUCAGAUACAUAUCCAAAGGGGUGCUCUUAAUGUAUAUUGUAUAUUAUCUAUUCUCUAUAGCAAAGUUAGCUUCGGAACUCUCUUAAGAUUAUACCAAAAUUGAUUAGAGAGUCUGAAUCCCCUUUGAAUGCAUUAGAUUUAUACCAGAGUAGCUUUUCCUGGCCCAGAGCUUAGCAGACUGCUGCAG